UACGAAGGGGGCUAGCGUUGCUCGGAAUUACUGGGCGUAAAGGGCGCGUAGGCGGAUCGUUAAGUCUGUUGUGAAAUCCCCGGGCUCAACCUGGGAAUGGCAAUGGAUACUGGCUGGCUAGAGUGUGUCAGAGGAUGGUGGAAUUCCCGGUGUAGCGGUGAAAUGCGUAGAGAUCGGGAGGAACAUCAGUGGCGAAGGCGGCCAUCUGGGACAACACUGACGCUGAAGCACGAAAGCGUGGGGAGCAAACAGG
rnacentral:rRNA from 1 species